rnacentral:rRNA from 1 species
AGUGUAGGCGGCUAUUUAAGUCGGAUGUGAAAGCCCUGGGCUCAACCUGGGAAUUGCAUUCGAUACUGGGUAGCUAGAGUUUGGUAGAGGUAAGUGGAAUUCCGGGUGUAGCGGUGAAAUGCGUAGAUAUCCGGAGGAACAUCAGUGGCGAAGGCGGCUUACUGGACCAAAACUGACGCUGAGGCUCGAAAGCGUGGGGAGCAAACAGGAUUAGAUACCCUGGUAGUCC